UACGUAGGGACCGAGCGUUGUCCGGAUUCAUUGGGCGUAAAGAGCUCGUAGGCGGCUGCUCAAGUCGAAUGUGAAACCUCGAGGCUCAACCUCGAGCCUGCAUUCGAUACUGGGCGGCUAGAGUCUGGUAGGGGGAUCUGGAAUUCCUGGUGUAGCGGUGGAAUGCGCAGAUAUCGGGAGGAACACCAAUGGCGAAGGCAGCUCGCUGGGACGGUACUGACGCUGAGACGCGAAAGCGUGGGGAGCAAACAGG
rnacentral:rRNA from 1 species